AGACAGACGUAAGGACAGACAGUA
rnacentral:piRNA from 1 species